rnacentral:rRNA from 1 species
AUUACUAGCGAUUCCAGCUUCACGCAGUCGAGUUGCAGACUGCGAUCCGAACUGAGAACAGAUUUGUGGGAUUGGCUUAACCUCGCGGUUUCGCUGCCCUUUGUUCUGUCCAUUGUAGCACGUGUGUAGCCCAGGUCAUAAGGGGCAUGAUGAUUUGACGUCAUCCCCACCUUCCUCCGGUUUGUCACCGGCAGUCACCUUAGAGUGCCCAACUGAAUGCUGGCAACUAAGAUCAAGGGUUGCGCUCGUUGCGGGACUUAACCCAACAUCUCACGACACGAGCUGACGACAACCAUGCACCACCUGUCACUCUGCCCCCGAAGGGGAAGUCCUAUCUCUAGGAUUGUCAGAGGAUGUCAAGACCUGGUAAGGUUCUUCGCGUUGCUUCGAAUUAAACCACAUGCUCCACCGCUUGUGCGGGCCCCCGUCAAUUCCUUUGAGUUUCAGUCUUGCGACCGUACUCCCCAGGCGGAGUGCUUAAUGCGUUAGCUGCAGCACUAAGGGGCGGAAACCCCCUAACACUUAGCACUCAUCGUUUACGGCGUGGACUACCAGGGUAUCUAAUCCUGUUCGCUCCCCACGCUUUCGCUCCUCAGCGUCAGUUACAGACCAGAGAGUCGCCUUCGCCACUGG